rnacentral:rRNA from 1 species
ACGAACGCUGGCGGCGCGCCUAACACAUGCAAGUCGAACGGGGUUAUACGGGAUGAAGUUUUCGGAUGGAAUUCUAUAUAACCUAGUGGCGGACGGGUGAGUAACACGUGAGCAACCUGCCUAUCAGAGGGGGAUAACGAUUGGAAACGAUCGCUAAUACCGCAUGACAUAGCGAAACCGCAUGGUUUUGCUAUCAAAGAUUUAUCGCUGAUAGAUGGGCUCGCGUCCGAUUAGAUAGUUGGCGGGGUAACGGCCCACCAAGUCGACGAUCGGUAGCCGGACUGAGAGGUUGAACGGCCACAUUGGGACUGAGACACGGCCCAGACUCCUACGGGAGGCAGCAGUGAGGAAUAUUGGUCAAUGGGCGAGAGCCUGAACCAGCCAAGUCGCGUGAAGGACUACGGCCCUAUGGGUCUUAAACUUCUUUUGUAUAGGGGUAAAGGUAUGUACGUGUACAUAUUUGCAAGUACUAUACGAAUAAGCAUCGGCUAACUACGUGCCAGCAGCCGCGGUAAUACGUAGGAUGCAAGCGUUAUCCGGAUUUACUGGGUGUAAAGGGAGCGCAGGCGGGACUUCAAGUUGGAUGUGAAAGGUCAAGGCUUAACCUUGGCACUGCAUCCAAAACUGUAGUUCUUGAGUGGAGUAGAGGUAAGCGGAAUUCCGAGUGUAGCGGUGAAAUGCGUAGAUAUUCGGAGGAACACCAGUGGCGAAGGCGGCUUACUGGGCUCUAACUGACGCUGAGGCUCGAAAGUGUGGGGAGCAAACAGGAUUA